CGGCCCAUACCAUCUAUGUUAGCUUUUCUGUCUGAAUGCAUUCAAAACAAUUCGCUUUCUAGAUGAUCCUUCUAGAAGAGUGGGAUUAGAAUAGAACAAUUUUUCUAGUUACUUCGUUCUCUAUUUCUAUUUGAGAAAAUCCUUAGGAAAAGCAUUUUGUUUCCGCCGAGCUAAAACAAGAUGUAAAUGUCUCUAGUAAACCAAAGUUAUCGUUUAAUAGCUAUUUUGCUUCAAUCUAUCCCAUAAAAAAAAGUGAAGAUUUAGUUACGAUUAGAAAUACACUUUUCUAUCUUUAUCCAUGGAUCUUUUCCUCAUACUUAUUCAAUUGGAAGUAUUGAUCCAAUUGAAAAAAAAAUUAUGUUUCGUAAUUUCAUAAUCCAAUUUUUCAAUUUUUAGUUAGAAUAUAAUUAAAAAAUUAUAUAUAAUUUA
rnacentral:lncRNA from 1 species